rnacentral:tRNA from 1 species
GCCCCUGUGGCUUAGUGGUAGAGCGCGUCCUUGGUAAGGACGAGAUCGCGAGUUCAAUUCUCGCCAGGGGCU